rnacentral:piRNA from 1 species
UGGGGAAUGACAAGUUCAAUGUGCCAAUGGU